GAUUUGUUGGUAUUAGUGGAUAGAGUCCACGAUUUUUGUGGGAUUAGUGGAUACAAUCCCACAAAAAUGUUUCGUGUUUGGCAGUCACGGUUUCCAUUAGAAAUCCUGGAUAUUAUCCACGGUGACCACAAAACGUGGUUUCGAUUUCAGCCAAAUCUACACCCGUAAAUUUUAAAAAAGUUACACCAUUUACGUAAUAAAAAAGUAAACAUACACUACAAAUGUAAAUUUUCCUCAUAGGAUUCUCGCUUGAGCGAGAGUGGUCUCGCCUGAGCGAGAGUGGUCUCGCCUGAGCGAGAGUGGUCUCGCCUGAGCGAGAGUGGUCUCGCCUGAGCGAGAGUGGUCUCGCCUGAGCGAGAGUGGUCUCGCCUGAGCGAGAGUGGUCUCGCCUGAGCGAGAAAAGUGGCAUUCAGGACCUGUCGAGGCUGUAAGAUCCUCGCUUGAGCGAGAGCUGCCUCGCCUGAGCGAGAAAUCCCUCGCUUGAGCUAGAGCGUCAGAUCUGAAAUUUUAAAAAUGCGGGAUUUUCUCGCCUGAGCGAGAAUGGGCUCGCUUGAGUGAGAACCCGACGAUUUCACUUUAAAAUAGAAACCCAAAACACAUUUUAGGGUUAGAAAUUGAGAGAGAAGAGAGGAGAAGGUGACUAUUUAAACAGAACUGAUGGUUCAGAUGAUUGACUUCGGUGAUUAAGGGUGAUAUUUGAUCAGAUUGGUAUUCUGGAAGAGAGAUUCAUGAAGAUUAGAAUGUGGCCCUCGUUUCACAUUGAAGUUAACUAGCUUGCAGCAUGGAACAUUUGAUACCAGGGGUGGAGAAUAUGAGUGGGUUCACAAGCCGGAAAUGGACACAAGCCGAAGGAGGUUCUUCCUAUGAGUUUUUAUGAGAAUGUUGCAUUUGGUACCUUCAUUUGUUCUGAACUAGAGUUUAGCUGGUAAGAUGUUGCAAUAUUUUAACUUUAAUUUUCUAUAAUGCUGGUGUAUUAAUAUUAACUUUUUUUGAAGGAGGGGGUGUGGCCAAAAUCCCUAAAGUUCCAUAAUUCUUAUAUU